rnacentral:rRNA from 1 species
AUUGAACGCUGGCGGCAGGCCUAACACAUGCAAGUCGAACGAGUGGCGGACGGGUGAGUAAUGUCUGGGAAACUGCCCGAUGGAGGGGGAUAACUACUGGAAACGGUAGCUAAUACCGCAUACCAUCGGAUGUGCCCAGAUGGGAUUAGCUAGUAGGUGGGGUAAGGGCUCACCUAGGCGACGAUCCCUAGCUGGUCUGCGAGGAUGAACAGGCAAACUGGAACGGAGAAACGGUCCAGACUCCUACGGGAGGCAGCAGUGGGGAAGAGUGCACAAUGGGCGCAAGCCUGAUGCAGCCAUGCCGCGUGGAUGAAGAAGGCCUUCGGGUUGGAAAGUAAUUUCAGCGAGGAGGCGUUAAUCGGAGAAGAAGCACCGGCUAACUCCGUGCCAGCAGCCGCGGUAAUAA